UACGUAGGUGACCAGCGUUGUCCGGAUUUACUGGGCGUAAAGAGCGCGCAGGCGGUCGUUCAAGUCGAGUGUGAAAGCCCCCGGCUCAACUGGGGAGGGUCACUCGAUACUGAUCGACUUGAAGGCAGGAGAGGGAAGCGGAAUUCCCGGUGUAGUGGUGAAAUGCGUAGAUAUCAGGAGGAACACCAGUGGCGAAGGCCGCCACUCAUGG
rnacentral:rRNA from 1 species